rnacentral:rRNA from 1 species
AGAGUUUGAUCCUGGCUCAGGACGAACGCUGGCGGCGUGCUUAACACAUGCAAGUCGAACGGAAAGGCCCUGCUUUUGUGGGGUGCUCGAGUGGCGAACGGGUGAGUAACACGUGAGUAACCUGCCCUUGACUUUGGGAUAACUUCAGGAAACUGGGGCUAAUACCGGAUAGGAGCUCCUGCUGCAUGGUGGGGGUUGGAAAGUUUCGGCGGUUGGGGAUGGACUCGCGGCUUAUCAGCUUGUUGGUGGGGUAGUGGCUUACCAAGGCUUUGACGGGUAGCCGGCCUGAGAGGGUGACCGGCCACAUUGGGACUGAGAUACGGCCCAGACUCCUACGGGAGGCAGCAGUGGGGAAUAUUGCACAAUGGGCGGAAGCCUGAUGCAGCAACGCCGCGUGCGGGAUGACGGCCUUCGGGUUGUAAACCGCUUUCGCCUGUGACGAAGCGUGAGUGACGGUAAUGGGUAAAGAAGCACCGGCUAACUACGUGCCAGCAGCCGCGGUGAUACGUAGGGUGCGAGCGUUGUCCGGAUU